AUUGAACGCUGGCGGCAGGCUUGACACAUGCAAGUCGAGCGGGGUGAUGGUGCUUGCACUAUCACUUAGCGGCGGACGGGUGAGUAAUGCUUAGGAAUCUGCCUAUUAGUGGGGGACAACAUCUCGAAAGGGAUGCUAAUACCGCAUACGUCCUACGGGAGAAAGCAGGGGAUCACUUGUGACCUUGCGCUAAUAGAUGAGCCUAAGUCGGAUUAGCUAGUUGGUGGGGUAAAGGCCCACCAAGGCGACGAUCUGUAGCGGGUCUGAGAGGAUGAUCCGCCAAACUGGGACUGAGACACGGCCCAGAUUCCUACGGGAGGCAGCAGUGGGGAAUAUUGGACAAUGGGGGGAACCCUGAUCCAGCCAUGCCGCGUGUGUGAAGAAGGCCUUAUGGUUGUAAAGCACUUUAAGCGAGGAGGAGGCUCUUUUGGUUAAUACCCAAGAUGAGUGGACGUUACUCGCAGAAUAAGCACCGGCUAACUCUGUGCCAGCCGCCGCAGUAA
rnacentral:rRNA from 1 species